AGUCUGCAUGAUACAUAUUCAAUUAUGUGAGCUCUCUCUCUCUCUAUAUAUAUAUAAUGCAAAUUGUUCUAACGACUUCGAUCUACUAGCAACAUAUUAUAAAUCUGAAGGUUUUAAUCACGAGAGAUCUAUAGCACGGUUUAUUCCUCAUCCUUAGACAACACUAUGGCGAUGCAUCUCUUAUCCGAGCGAACCAUAACUGACAGAAGAUUCAGAGGGAACGGGGUAAAAUCCCCGUCAGUGUUAUCGAGUUUGAAAAGUAACCUAGAAACAAAGGAUGCAAAGGUUGCCGGGAAGAGGAAAUACGAGACUGAGAAGAUGAUGCCCAAUAAUGGUUUAGUCAACAUGCGUUUGUUGGUUUUAAUGACAUUGAUGUGCCUUUGCGUCCAAAGGGCCUACUUU